GAGAUUAUUUUUCUCCUUUCCUUUCCUUUCUUUUCUUCUUCUCCGGCGUCUCUCUCGGCUCUCACCUCUCUCACCUUCUCUCUUCGGUUUCAUCGACCGCGAGUGAGACUUUUGAAAAGUCCCAAGUACUAAAGUUGUUCUACGCGACGAGAGCUUCCUAUCCAUCGAAGAAAAUUCACGAUCGGAGCACUUCGAAGUUUCCUCCAUGUUCGGGCUUGCUUCUAACCCUCGAGGUACUCGUCAUGGCACUUAGCUUGGAUUGCAUGGAGUGCAUAUUGAGACGUCUCUUGGGAGCUUCAUUGGAAUCAUUAAGGAGGUACUCGUCAUGGCACUUAGCUUGGAUUGCAUGGAGUGCAUAUUGAGACGUCUCUUGGGAGCUUCAUUGGAAUCAUUAAGGAGGUGUUUUAUCAUCUAGUCAAAUUCAUGUUGUGUACUUUACUCACAAUUGAAGGUUGUAUCUGUUGGUUAGAACAUAUGUAAAGCUAGGUAUAAACUCCUCUCUUUGAU